UAGCUCAGUGGUAGAGCGCUUGCCUAGCAAGCGCAAGGCCCUGGGUUCGAUCCCCAG
rfam:Rattus norvegicus chromosome 15, whole genome shotgun sequence.